AAAUGCAUCUGUCUCCUGCUAGGACCCACAUCAUGAAAUGUCGAUGUUUGAUUUGUACACAGCUGACUUAACUGUGUGGUUCUGGGACAUGAGAUUGUCGCACCGUCAUGAUUUUUUUUUUUUUUAAAUGUUUAUUUGAGAGAGAGCAGCAUUAGGGGGGAGGGUCAGAGAUGGAGGGGGAAACAGACUUGCUGAUGAGCUGGGAGCCAGAAGCGGGUCUCGAAUCCAGGACCACAGCAUUCUGACCUGAUCUCAAGACAGAGGUCUACCAAGUGAGCCACCCCGGCACCCUGUGACUGCGUUCUUACAGUGAGGGGACAAUUGUUGACCUAGCCUUGCAAAUCAAACACCAAAACAAAACAAAGAAAGGUAAUAUCCUACCAACUGUGUUUCCACUGUUAAAGAAAUUACAGGGAAGCCAUUAGACUCCUGUGACUCCUGUCUCUGUAGCGUCUGCAAGCAGCCCACAUGUUCAGUCAAUGCACUGGAAUGGAGGAAAAGGAACUCAACCGAUCCAGUCAACUAGGCAUUCCAGAAAAAGGCACCUGCUUCGGGCGCUGCCCAUCAGAUACUGGCCUUGCUUUCCUUCCGUAGUGUGUCUGUGAACACCUCACUGCAACCUCCCCCACGUGGAGCAUGCCUAACCUUUUGAAGAAACAAUUCGCUGGUCAAAGUAAAUCUUGAAAAUUUGAAGGUACGUCCCUACAACCGUUAACCAGCACACAGGACCACGUUUCAUCUUGAGCACUUUCUACUGUGGCUUAAACAUCGCGCCCACGGUGUAAGAGGGUGGAAGACUCAACAUUACAGGUUUCCCUGUCCCGCUCUGCCCACUUUUGCACAUGCGCACAGCACACCACUGCGACUCUCGGCCAAGCGACCCCAUCCUUCACCCUUGGUGAUGACCACUCACCGCGCAUGGGCCGGAGGUUUACCAUCGAGUGCUGCCCAUGCGCACGAAGGACUUGUGACACACACAGCCCCUUUCAGGGCCGCAGUCGGCCAUCUUGUGCUCCUCCUUUCACCACCUCAGGCCUCCAGAGGAAAGCCUCCAGUAGCGUCUCAACCAAACCCAGGCAUCUGAGUUCCCAGUUCAGACAAGCUGGACCCAGAGGCUGUGGACAGACUAGUCUUCCCACAUUUUUAUCACACCCAGAGUUCUGGAUGGCCUUUCCGGUUUCUGCCUUUCCUGGUACCCAAAGUUUGCACAUGCGCAGGAGGAGAACACAGGUGACUGAUGAUGAAGAAAGAAGGGAAUUCUACUCCCACGGUGGCUCGUCCAGCACAGAUCCUCCUGGAAAAAAAUGA
rnacentral:lncRNA from 1 species